GUAUGGCCAGGCAGGCCUGACAGCGGAAAUUGGAAGCUGGCUGCUGUUUGACAGGUGUGGCUUCCACCAUCCUUGAGCAAGUUUCCGGCCUCUUUCUUGAUGUCUACCUCGACUGUGAUGUCUACCUCGACUGUGAUGCCUGCCACUGUCCAUCUUUAUGUUGUCUUAAUGAGAAUCCUGGGCUUCUGACAGCCUGCGGCAACAAGUGGCUGAUGGCCUGAGACCCUCCCAAUGCUCCCCACAGUCCAGCACCUCCG
ensembl:lncRNA